UAGUUGGUGGGGUAAUGGCCUACCAAGGCGACGAUCAGUAGCGGGUCUGAGAGGAUGAUCCGCCACACUGGAACUGAGACACGGUCCAGACUCCUACGGGAGGCAGCAGUGGGGAAUUUUGGACAAUGGGGGCAACCCUGAUCCAGCCAUUCCGCGUGAGUGAAGAAGGCCUUCGGGUUGUAAAGCUCUUUCAGCCGGAACGAAACGGUAUUCCUUAAUACGGGGUGCUAAUGACGGUACCGGCAGAAGAGGCACCGGCUAACUACGUGCCAGCAGCCGCGGUAAUACGUAGGGUGCGAGCGUUAAUCGGAAUUACUGGGCGUAAAGCGUGCGCAGGCGGAUUGUUAAGCAAGAUGUGAAAUCCCCGGGCUUAACCUGGGAAUGGCAUUUUGAACUGGCAGUCUAGAGUGUGUCAGAGGGGGGUGGAAUUCCACGUGUAGCAGUGAAAUGCGUAGAUAUGUGGAGGAACACCGAUGGCGAAGGCAGCCCCCUGGGAUAACACUGACGCUCAUGUACGAAAGCGUGGGUAGCAAACAGGAUUAGAUACCCUGGUAGUCCACGCCCUAAACGAUGUCAACUGGUUGUUGGGGGAGUGAAAUCCCUUAGUAACGAAGCUAACGCGUGAAGUUGACCGCCUGGGGAGUACGGUCGCAAGAUUAAAACUCAAAGGAAUUGACGGGGACCCGCACAAGCGGUGGAUGAUGUGGAUUAAUUCGAUGCAACGCGAAAAACCUUACCUACCCUUGACAUGUCCAGAAUCCUGCAGAGAUGCGGGAGUGCCCGAAAGGGAAUUGGAACACAGGUGCUGCAUGGCUGUCGUCAGCUCGUGUCGUGAGAUGUUGGGUUAAGUCCCGCAACGAGCGCAACCCUUAUCAUUAGUUGCUACGCAAGGGCACUCUAAUGAGACUGCCGG
rnacentral:rRNA from 1 species